rnacentral:tRNA from 1 species
GGCUCGAUGGUCUAGGGGUAUGAUUCUCGCUUUGGGUGCGAGAGGUCCCGGUUCAAAUCCCGGUCGAGCCC